GUGUAAGAUCCAGUUAGUAACAGGGGCAGGGAUGUCACAAUAGCAGUGAGAAAGAAUGCUCAAAGUGUGAGUCCAGUUGCACACAGGUUGAUAGAUUCAAUGGUGAAGGAGAAUUUUUCUUACUUCCAUGAGUUUUUCACUGAGAGUAAAGGUGGUCUGGAGAGAAUAUGGAGUUUGAAAGAAUAACUAAAAUAUCCUUAAGGCAUGAAAGUUUAUCCUUUCACCAGAGACUACAAUUAAUAUUUCAAGGCUGAAUUAGAUCUGCUUACCUAAAAUGGAACAGAAGACCCAAGGAAAACAUUGUCAGGAGAAGGGUGGUCUCUGCACAAACUGGUUCCCCUUUACCCCAAGAGUGGAAGCAGCCUGACGUUUUCACCAGAUACCCGAUCUUCUAACCAGAUCAUGAGCUGAAUAAACCUUUUUUCUUGACAAAUUACCGAGUCUCAGGUAUUCCUUUAUAGCAACACAAAAUGAACUA